rnacentral:rRNA from 1 species
AGUGAACGCUGGCGGUAGGCCUAACACAUGCAAGUCGAACGGCAGCACAGUAAGAGCUUGCUCUUACGGGUGGCGAGUGGCGGACGGGUGAGGAAUACAUCGGAAUCUACUUUUUCGUGGGGGAUAACGUAGGGAAACUUACGCUAAUACCGCAUACGACCUACGGGUGAAAGCAGUGGAUCUUCGGACCUUGCGCGAUUGAAUGAGCCGAUGUCGGAUUAGCUAGUUGGCGGGGUAAAGGCCCACCAAGGCGACGAUCCGUAGCCGGUCUGAGAGGAUGGUCAGCCACACUGGAACUGAGACACGGUCCAGACUCCUACGGGAGGCAGCAGUGGGGAAUAUUGGACAAUGGGCGCAAGCCUGAUCCAGCCAUACCGCGUGGGUGAAGAAGGCCUUCGGGUUGUAAAGCCCUUUUGUUGGGAAAGAAAAGCAGCAGGUUAAUACCCCGCUGUUCUGACGGUACCCAAAGAAUAAGCACCGGCUAACUUCGUG